UACGAAGGGGGGCUAGCGUUGCUCGGAAUUACUGGGCGUAAAGGGUGUGUAGGCGGAUACUUAAGUCGGGGGUGAAAGCCCAGGGCUCAACCCUGGAAUAGCCUUCGAUACUGGGUAUCUUGAGUUCGGGAGAGGUAAGUGGAACUCCGAGUGUAGAGGUGAAAUUCGUAGAUAUUCGGAAGAACACCAGUGGCGAAGGCGACUUACUGGCCCGAUACUGACGCUGAAACACGAAAGCGUGGGGAGCAAACAGG
rnacentral:rRNA from 1 species